AGCACACCAAGCAUGUUACCUUGUGCUAGCUAGCUAAGUGUGUCAACACACACUAUGAGUGACAUUCUGCCAAUUUUUUAAAAACAUUUGAUCACAAUUCAGUUUUAAACUCUCAAAACUAGAAUAUUUUACAAACAGAUUCAGUGGAUGCUUUGUAGACUUGACCCUUUUCCAAAGUUUUAAAGACGAGCUGCGAGCUCUUGUCGAACAGGGAUUCCGGGUUCCAGGCACUCUCCGUGGCAGAAGUGCCAAAAAACACAGCGUAGUCUGCCACACUAUUAGGAGUCUUGUCGCAGUUGAAGUGGCUUCCGAGCAGUCUCUCUCCUGGACAACGGAGAAUCGAACACUUUUCUUACCUCCACCACAAACUCCUCAGGCUGAGGCAAACGGUGGAUUGUUGCUCCCAGGAGAGUGCUUUCCCGGACAUGAGUGUUAACAGGUACGCUAUCUUCUAGCGAUCCGAGGGAAAUGAAGAGAAACGCCCGGCAGGUUUCUGGAUCUCCAACAUAGAGUUCUGGAGACAAAUAAUUAGCAGUAAAACUUUUUGUCUGAAUUUUGAUGUCGCCAGAUUGACUUUAGUUACAGUGUAGCGUUAGUUAGCUAGCUAAAAUUGAGGGGAGACCUCCAGAUUUUAGCUAGCUAAUGUUGUCAUUGCUAGCUAACUUUGACUAACUUUGCUAACUAAUGACAACAUUGCCAUCUGUCUAAAGUACAUUUCACAACAUGAUGAUGACAAAGUGGUUUCCCGCUAAAUAUGUAAAGAAUUUAGCAAUGUCGUCAUAUUCCCAAGUCCCUAUAGUGUAAUUUAGAUGAAACAGACAUUAUCCCCGGUUUAAAGUGAUUAGCCCCAUUCUACUUUGGAGCAUCAAUAUGGCUGUGGUGUCUGUAGAACAUUGAUGACAAUGGCAACAACGCAACGGAGUGACGGAGGUGCAACCCAUGUAUAAGUACACAUUAGUUACAGGUGUGGCGUUAAACCUGGAGCAGUGGAACCAGCUGAAGAUCAUCCGAGACAUUGACACUGUGAUCCUGAAGAUCUAGACCCCCCACGGUGCCCAGUGAGCAGCCAAGACAGCCCAGAUCGAUUCCCCUCUACACAAGCGAGCCUGUUAUCACUGACAGUAUAUCACUUUAUUUAAUCCACUGUUAAAUGGCUUUAACAUCCUGCAGAUAUGUUCAAUUAAAGCCCUUUGUUUUACAUACCUCA